GACGCAGUAGGAUAGGCGAAGCGUGCUGUUGGAGUGCACGUCCAAGCAGUGAGAUUGAGUGUUAGGCAAAUCCGGCACUCUUAAGAUUGAGCUGUGAUGGGGAGAGGAACUUGUUCCUCGAGUCGUUGAUUUCACACUGCCGAGAAAAGCCUCUAGCUAGAAUAACGGUGCCCGUACCGCAAACCGACACAGGUAGUCAAGAUGAGAAUUCUAAGGUGAGCGAGCGAACUCUCGUUAAGGAACUCGGCAAAAUGACCCCGUAACUUCGGGAGAAGGGGUGCUCUUUGAGGUUCACGCUUCGAAGAGCCGCAGUGAAUAGGCCCAAGCGACUGUUUAUCAAAAACACAGGUCUCUGCUAAACCGUAAGGUGACGUAUAGGGGCUGACGCCUGCCCGGUGCUGGAAGGUUAAGAGGAGUGGUUAGCGCAAGCGAAGCUACGAAUCGAAGCCCCAGUAAACGGCGGCCGUAACUAUAACGGUCCUAAGGUAGCGAAAUUCCUUGUCGGGUAAGUUCCGACCCGCACGAAAGGCGUAACGAUUUGGGCACUGUCUCAACGAGAGACUCGGUGAAAUCAUAGUACCGGUGAAGAUGCCGGUUACCCGCGACAGGACGGAAAGACCCCGUGGAGCUUUACUGUAGCCUGAUAUUGAAAUUC
rnacentral:rRNA from 1 species